CAUGGGUGAAGUUAUUUUCAUUGUAAAUAUCCGAUUGAAAUACAAGACACAUCACUAUCAAAGGAAAAUUAACAGCUUAAAAUGCUGGAACAGAAGAUUUGGCUGCGGGGAUUAGUCGCAGCAGUUACGUUGGUCCUGGUAGGACAUGCGCAAUGGAUUGACUCCUCUCGACAAUCAAACUCACUUUCGAUACAAGACAUACGACUUAUUGGUGAUGCGAACAGAACCGAAGGUAGAGUUGAAAUAAAAGUGUUCGAUACCUGGGGUACAAUAUGCGAUGACAAUGUUGGACUGGAAGAAGCCAGUGCUUUAUGUCGUAUGAUGGG